rnacentral:rRNA from 1 species
GCAAGUCGAACGAGAACUCUUCUGCUUGCAGAAGAUAGUAAAGUGGCGAACGGGUGAGUAACGCGUGGGUAAUCUACCUUCGAAUCGGGGAUAACGUUGCGAAAGCGAUGCUAAUACCGGAUAAUAUUCUUUGGACCUCGGUCCUUUGAAUCAAGGGUGGCCUCUUCUUGAAAGCUACUGUUUGAAGAUGAGCCCGCGUACCAUUAGCUAGUUGGUAGGGUAAUGGCCUACCAAGGCGACGAUGGUUAGCUGGUCUGAGAGGAUGAUC